UACGUAGGGACCAAGCGUUGUUCGGAUUUACUGGGCGUAAAGGGCGCGUAGGCGGCAAUUCAAGUCAGCUGUGAAAUCUCCGGGCUUAACUCGGAACGGUCAGCUGAUACUGCUUUGCUAGAGUGCAGAAGGGGCAACUGGAAUUCUCGGUGUAGCGGUGAAAUGCGUAGAUAUCGAGAGGAGCACCUGCGGCGAAGGCGGGUUGCUGGGCUGACACUGACGCUGAGGCGCGAAAGCCAGGGGAGCGAACGGG
rnacentral:rRNA from 1 species